rnacentral:rRNA from 1 species
GAUGAACGCUGGCGGCGUGCCUAAUACAUGCAAGUCGAGCGAAUGGAUUAAGAGCUUGCUCUUAUGAAGUUAGCGGCGGACGGGUGAGUAACACGUGGGUAACCUGCCCAUAAGACUGGGAUAACUCCGGGAAACCGGGGCUAAUACCGGAUAACAUUUUGAACCGCAUGGUUCGAAAUUGAAUGCCGGCUUCGGCUGUCUCUUAUGGAUGGACCCGCGUCGCAUUAGCUAGUUGGUGAGGUAACGGCUCACCAAGGCAACGAGGCGUAGCCGACCUGAGAGGGUGAUCGGCCACACUGGGACUGAGACACGGCCCAGACUCCUACGGGAGGCAGCAGUAGGGAAUCUUCCGCAAUGGACGAAAGUCUGACGGAGCAACGCCGCGUGAGUGAUGAAGGCUUUCGGGUCGUAAAACUCUGUUGUUAGGGAAGAACAAGUGCUAGUUGAAUAAGCUGGCACCUUGACGGUACCUAACCAGAAAGCCACGGCUAACUACGUGCCAGCAGCCGCAGUAA